rnacentral:rRNA from 1 species
AUGCCUUUUACAGACUUGAAGAACUGGAAUUUUGCAAUCGGUUAUGGUCUGGGCUCAACUAGCCCACUCAGCCCUUCAUUUACUUUUGCACUAGAGCUCAUUAGAAGUUCACAGCUGGUUGCAUCAUUCUAUCAGCACCAUAUUUCUGGAAAGGAACUAAAGUAUCGGGGUGAACCUGAUAUUUUUGGAACUUUAAACUACAUUGAUCUUGGACUUGAGCUGGCCACAAGGGUGGAUAAAGACAAACCAACAGACGAUGUUGGCAAUUCCUCGUUUCAGGUAGCUGCAAGUUGGCAGCUCAAUACUGAUUUACUUGUAAAGGGGAAGUUAGGCCCCUCCAAGUCUUCUGCAGCAUUGGCAUAUAAGUUUCCACCCUUCUUUACAUGUAGUGUCACAGGUUUGCAACUCUUCAAUUCCUUGAAAUAA